UACGUAGGGUGCGAGCGUUAAUCGGAAUUACUGGGCGUAAAGCGUGCGCAGGCGGUUCGCCAAGUCAGGUGUGAAAUCCCCGGGCUUAACCUGGGAAUUGCGCUUGAAACUAGCGGGCUUGAGUGUGGCAGAGGGGGGUGGAAUUCCACGUGUAGCAGUGAAAUGCGUAGAGAUGUGGAGGAACACCGAUGGCGAAGGCAGCCCCCUGGGCUGAGAUUGACGCUCAGGCACGAAAGCGUGGGGAGCAAACAGG
rnacentral:rRNA from 1 species